rnacentral:rRNA from 1 species
GACGUAGGGCGCGAGCGUUGUCCGGAUUUAUUGGGCGUAAAGAGCUCGUAGGCGGCUUGUCGCGUCGUCCGUGAAAACCUGCGGCUCAACUGCAGGCUGGCGGUCGAUACGGGCAGGCUGGAGUUCGGUAGGGGAGACUGGAAUUCCUGGUGUAGCGGUGAAAUGCGCAGAUAUCAGGAAGAACACCCGUGGCGAAGGCGGCUCUCUGGUACGUGACUGACGCUGAGACGCGAAAGCGUGGGGAGCGAACAGG